AGCUAAUAGAUACCCCGGUAGUCCCAGCAGUAAACGGUGCGCGUUUGGUGUGAGCAGAUUCGACUCUGUUCGCGCCGGAGCUAACGCGUUAAACGCGCCGCCUGGGAAGUACGAUCGCAAGAUUAAAACUCAAAGAAAUUGACGGGGGCCCGCACAAGCGGUGGAGUAUGUGGCUUAAUUCGAUGCAACGCGAAGAACCUUACCUGGGUUUGACAUGCAUCUCUAAGGAGGUGAAAGCUUCCGAGGGUAGCAAUACCCGAUUUGCACAGGUGCUGCAUGGCUGUCGUCAGCUCGUGUCGUGAGAUGCUGGGUUAAGUCCCGCAACGAGCGCAACCCUUGUAUGCUGUUGCUAUGCUUACGCAUAGCUCUCUGCGUAGACUGCCCCGUGAAACGGGGAGGAAGGUGGGGAUGACGUCAAGUCAGCAUGGCCCUUACACCCAGGGCUGCACACGUACUACAAUGCUCAGUACAAUUAGAACCUGCCCGCGA
rnacentral:rRNA from 1 species